AGACUGCCCCGCAAGGGAGGGUGGCAUGACGGGUGAGGAACGACGUGGGAGACGGUACCCUUGUGGUUCGGAACAACCCAUGGGAAACGUAGCGGCGUAACUACCGGAGUACUGCUGCGAGAGCGGGAAAGGUUUACCUGCCGAAGGAUCGGCCCGCGUCUGAUUAGCUAGUUGGUGGGGUAACGGCUCACCAAGGCGACGAUCAGUAGCUGGUCUGAGAGGAUGAUCAGCCACAUUGGGACUGAGACACGGCCCAAACUCCUACGGGAGGCAGCAGUGGGGAAUAUUGGACAAUGGGCGCAAGCCUGAUCCAGCCAUGCCGCGUGAGUGAUGACGGCCUUAGGGUUGUAAAGCUCUUUUACCUGGGAAGAUAAUGACGGUACCGGGAGAAUAAGCCCCGGCUAACUUCGUGCCAGCAGCCGCGGUAAUACGAAGGGGGCUAGCGUUGUUCGGAUUUACUGGGCGUAAAGCGCACGUAGGCGGAGAUUUAAGUCAGGGGUGAAAUCCCGAGGCUCAA
rnacentral:rRNA from 1 species